GAUGAACGCUGGCGGCGUGCCUAAUACAUGCAAGUCGAGCGAACGGACGAGAAGCUUGCUUCUCUGAUGUUAGCGGCGGACGGGUGAGUAACACGUGGAUAACCUACCUAUAAGACUGGGAUAACUUCGGGAAACCGGAGCUAAUACCGGAUAAUAUUUUGAACCGCAUGGUUCAAAAGUGAAAGACGGUCUUACUGUCACUUAUAGAUGGAUCCGCGCUGCAUUAGCUAGUUGGUAAGGUAACGGCUUACCAAGGCAACGAUGCAUAGCCGACCUGAGAGGGUGAUCGGCCACACUGGAACUGAGACACGGUCCAGACUCCUACGGGAGGCAGCAGUAGGGAAUCUUCCGCAAUGGGCGAAAGCCUGACGGAGCAACGCCGCGUGAGUGAUGAAGGUCUUCGGAUCGUAAAACUCUGUUAUUAGGGAAGAACAUAUGUGUAAGUAACUGUGCACAUCUUGACGGUACCUAAUCAGAAAGCCACGGCUAACUACGUGCCAGCAGCCGCGGUAAUACGUAGGUGGCAAGCGUUAUCCGGAAUUAUUGGGCGUAAAGCGCGCGUAGGCGGUUUUUUAAGUCUGAUGUGAAAGCCCACGGCUCAACCGUGGAGGGUCAUUGGAAACUGGAAAACUUGAGUGCAGAAGAGGAAAGUGGAAUUCCAUGUGUAGCGGUGAAAUGCGCGGAGAUAUGGAGGAACACCAGUGGCGAAGGCGACUUUCUGGUCUGUAACUGACGCUGAUGUGCGAAAGCGUGGGGAUCAAACAGGAUUAGAUACCCUGGUAGUCCACGCCGUAAACGAUGAGUGCUAAGUGUUAGGGGGUUUCCGCCCCUUAGUGCUGCAGCUAACGCAUUAAGCACUCCGCCUGGGGAGUACGACCGCAAGGUUGAAACUCAAAGGAAUUGACGGGGACCCGCACAAGCGGUGGAGCAUGUGGUUUAAUUCGAAGCAACGCGAAGAACCUUACCAAAUCUUGACAUCCUUUGACAACUCUAGAGAUAGAGCCUUCCCCUUCGGGGGGGGCAAAGUGACAGGUGGUGCAUGGUUGUCGUCAGCUCGUGUCGUGAGAUGUUGGGUUAAGUCCCGCAACGAGCGCAACCCUUAAGCUUAGUUGCCAUCAUUAAGUUGGGCACUCUAAGUUGACUGCCGGUGACAAACCGGAGGAAGGUGGGGAUGACGUCAAAUCAUCAUGCCCCUUAUGAUUUGGGCUACACACGUGCUACAAUGGACAAUACAAAGGGCAGCGAAACCGCGAGGUCAAGCAAAUCCCAUAAAGUUGUUCUCAGUUCGGAUUGUAGUCUGCAACUCGACUACAUGAAGCUGGAAUCGCUAGUAAUCGUAGAUCAGCAUGCUACGGUGAAUACGUUCCCGGGUCU
rnacentral:rRNA from 1 species